UGCGUAACGCGUAUGCAACCUACCAUCAACAGGGGGAUAACACUGAGAAAUUGGUACUAAUACCCCAUAAUAUCUCAUGCGGCAUCGCAUGGGGUUGAAAACUCCGGUGGUUGAUGAUGGGCAUGCGUUGUAUUAGCUGGUUGGUGAGGUAACGGCUCACCAAGGCGACGAUAUAUAGGGGGACUGAGAGGUUAACCCCCCACAUUGGUACUGAGACACGGACCAAACUCCUACGGAAGGCAGCAG
rnacentral:rRNA from 1 species